CAGUCAGGGUCUGUGCAGCACCUGGCACAGUGAGGUCUUAAUCUCGGUUGUGGCCUCUAUGCUACUACUGCAAUUCAAAUUAGCAAUAGGGCAUGGGACUUUCAGAAGGGACUACAGAUUUUAUGUAUGCCCCUUGGCCUGAAGCCCUAGUGAGUAAGGAGUUUGCUAUUGACACUUGUUGGCAAACAGGGAGAAGAGCAUCCCAGAGCUGCUUGAGAAUGCCAGAUGGACAGGGUCUCCAUACUGGAUGGAGCUCUCUGCAGCCAUCUAUGGGAGAGGAAAGGGAAACUACUGAAUGGGCCAGUCCUCAUUUGCAUUUCAGUUUUGUAAUAGUUUGGGGCAUUUUGGUAAAAUUGUGGGUAAGUUUUGAGUUUGAGGGUGAUGAAACUUCCAUAUCCCUCUUGGAGAAAAAGAACAAGAGAACUGCACCAAAUGUGCCUGGGAGGAGGGGUCACCCUGACCACAAGCUCAUUCUGGGACAGUUGGAUGAGAGGCCCUGGCUGAAGUAGGUUUUUACUUUGUGCUGUAAGUGCUUUCUGAGUAGAAUGAAUUGUGUUAAGGGUCUUUUAUACUAUUGGGUUGUUUUUGAAGGCUCAGAGUGGAACAGAGUCAGGGAUGCUGCUAAGGCAGCUAGUCUGAAGCCAUAGAGAGCAGCAGCACCUUAACUGAGGAUCUCUGGUGUGGGCCUCCCUACCUGGCAGCAAAGCUGUAAUGACUUCAGCUGUGGUAGUUGGUAGAACCCCCUGAUCAACCCUGGCAGCCCUUCACUUGGUGGCUGGAGAUGAACCUACCUGAAAUUGGGCUCUACAAACUAUGGACAACAAACUCAGUGUAGGCUGGAGCGUAGAGCACACGUCAGGAGGACCUGGGUUCUGUUCCUGCAUCUGCUGACUGACACUGAUCUGCUGUGUGGCCUUGUGUUAAAACCACGGAGCAGUGGAAGAAGGUCCCUUACCCAGUGACAUACAGUUGAGAAUGAUCCCAGAAAGGGCCAUCCCGACAAGGAAGCGGAAGAUGCAGUAUGCGGUGAAAUUGGGCGAGAAGGCGGUGCAGGUGCCCGAGACAGCCAUCUGCAGGAUUGCAAGCCCUGCUAGGAUGAGAGCAGAAGCCUGGGUGACUCUCCGGCCAAUGAAACUGAUCAUGAAGAAACCAAUCAGCUUUGCAGGGAUGUCGACAGCUCCAUAUACCACCUGGAUGAGCUGAAUGAACCCACCUACCAUACGAAGCACAGGCACCAGGAUACCCUGCGUACAGACGGUGUGCGCACCAGAUCGGCAGCUGUGUGGGUGGACUUGGCUGCGGACAUUUCUUUUUGCAGGCUGGCUCUCAAGUCCUGUGGGGAAGAGACACCGGAGAGUUUAUAUCUUUCCCCAAAUUCUUGGUUAUUUAAAUCCUUAUCGUUAUGACUUGGGGUAUUCUCGCUAUCCGUGUAAACACCCAGGGUCUGGAGCUGCUGCAAUGCUGAGUGCCGUCACCGGCCGAGCCAGUCUUCAGGCUGCAAUACCCCUGGCCACCACUGGGAGAUGCAGGUAGCCGAGGGAAGCGGCAAAGAGCAGGAAGGGCAACCUCCAGUGGGGCUAUUUCAACGCAUAGCACAGGCCUCCUUGUUUAGGGCACUGUGCAAAGUACUGAAUGCCUCCUACGGAUUGGAAGGGCGCAUCCUAUAAGGUCUCCCAUUCUAACAUCCCCUUAGCAACCUACGUUUCCAGACAGCAAUUCAUGUGCUAGAUUUCUAUGGGGAUCACCCUGUCAGUACGCCUGGCUGUCUCUUUUACUGGAGUUGUUAAGGCCUGGAUAUGAUUUUUUUGGAUUCUUUAUUGCUAUUGUUUCACAACAGCUAUAGCUGGACUCUAUGACUUGAUUUCUGGGCUUGGGAGAGUGUAUAUUUAUUACCCUCUUGGCACCAAGUGUUCAUGUGUCCCUGUCUAGAACUGGACAAAAUGUUUUGGCUGAAACUUUUUUCAGUGAAAAAUGCAGAUUUGGCGACAUCAAAUCAAAUUGCAAAUUUUUGUCAAUUUCACCAAAUUGUUUUGGAAAAUUAAGAACAAACAACCACCCACCAAAUUGAAGUGUUUUAUUUUUACAUUUUUGAAAUGAAAUGUUUUGAUUUUUUU